GAUGAACGCUAGCGGCAGGCUUAAUACAUGCAAGUCGAGGGGCAGCAGGGUAGCAAUAUCGCUGGCGACCGGCGCACGGGUGCGUAACACGUAUACAAUCUGCCUUUAACAGGGGGAUAGCCCGGAGAAAUCCGGAUUAAUACCCCCAUAAUAGUAGAACUGGCAUCAGUUUUAUUUGAAAGCUCCGGCGGUUAAAGAUGAGUAUGCGUCUGAUUAGCUAGUUGGUGAGGUAACGGCUCACCAAGGCGACGAUCAGUAGGGGAUCUGAGAGGAUUAACCCCCCACACGGGUACUGAGACACGGACCCGACUCCUACGGGAGGCAGCAGUAAGGAAUAUUGGACAAUGGUCGGAAGACUGAUCCAGCCAUGCCGCGUGAAGGAUGAAGGCGCUCAGCGUUGUAAACUUCUUUUGUACGGGAACAAAAUGCGACCUGCGGGUUGUACUGAGGGUACCGUAAGAAUAAGCACCGGCUAACUCCGUG
rnacentral:rRNA from 1 species